UAUUUAUUUUUGUAGGGGAUCAAAACGACGCUGUUUUGAUGUGAGGGGAGCAAAUCAGUGUUUAAAAAGACGGACAUGUUCAUCUGGUUCACCGGUUAAUCAUCAGUUUGACUGGUUUUUUACAGGUACUAAACAUUUUGAGGAUCUCAGACAACAAAUUUGUGGGGAUUAGAUGGAUUUGCAUCUUCAUACACAGCAUUUUCUGGAAACCACAAAGUUUGAAAAAAGAAACAGGUACGAACGCGAUAAAAACACAGGAGAUCAGACUCAUAUAUGGUAGGAAAGAUGGUGGUGCAGUUACGGACUGUGUUGGCUUGACCGUUGAAAACGCACGACAGGAAGGACGAUUGGCGCUGAGUUGAGGCUGCGGCAACAACCACGCUGUAUGGGCAGGGACGCAACAUUGGGAAGGACGCAUGGAAUGAAACUCGUGAAGGACAGGGAUGGUGCAGGUACUCGCAUCCUGUUGGAAGAGGAGAAGACUGUUGGAAGUUUAUUGUAAUUUAAACUUCUGUUGUGGCCUAAUUGUAAUUAUCUAUAAACUAUUAAUGAUUUAAUCUCAUCCGUUAAUUCUAAUGUU